GUACUGCUACACAACUGUUAUUCUCUCAUCUCCAUCAACAGGAAUCCUCCUUGUCUCUCAGUUGUGCUGAAUUCCAGUUCCCUGAUUCUCCUUGAGAAGAGGAAGACAAUUACUCCUGAGAUGAAACUCAAGGAGAUUUCUUACCUGAAGAUUGUGAGUCAUGGCAUGUGAGCUAGAACUAUCACUAUCAAUGGUCUCAAGCAUCUUAAUGGAUGAGAAGCAGAUCAUUGAUGCAAUAAAACUGUCAGUUAAAUUCACUGACAUCACAAAGGAAAGAGUUGGGCCAAUUGAUGAUAUGGAAAAAUUAUUUGCCUUGUGGAUGGAAGACCAGAGGCACAAGUGCAUAUGGCUCAGCCUACUGAUAAUCCAGAAUUCAAAUUGGUCCUGUCACUUCUGUUAUUUCCCAAUAAUCUGCAAUUAUGCUACCCAUCUACCAUGUUGGAUAGAACAAGAGUCACCAUAAGCAAGACCAGAAGAAGAAUCAGUCCAUCAACCAAGAGAUUUAGAAGCAAGAAACCCUAGCAAACUUGGUUAAAGAAUGAUUGACUAGAAAAUUUCGUAGAGGUGAGAAAUAGCAUGUGGUGUAAGAGUUUCAAAGACUUAACCUAUCCCGGAGCCAUUUACUUACAUACCAAGGUAGGCAAACCCUUCCUCCAUCACCCCCUCCUCAGGGAAGAUUUGUUUUCAUUCAAAAGUAAAGGUUUCUCCUUUUAGAACAAAGAGAAAUGAUGAGCCCACAUUGUGGCACCCUAUAUAAACUUUGGGUCUCAUCACUUCAGAGUUCCUCUCAUAUGGUGCCAACCUGAAACAUGUUAAAAAGAACAUUUGCUCUCAUUGUGUUGCUUGUAGGGAGAUUGAAAGACCAAUGCUGAGAUGCUUCAGGAUGGACAACGUGUUGCCUGUUCUGGAUCUCCAUCUCUACCUACCCACCCCCCACCUCCCUCUCCAGAUUAAUGGAAGAAAGGAAAGAAUAUUAGAUAUUCAACUAUUAGGAAUUUAUUAUGUUUCAUCAUUAGAUAGAAAAUUUUACUAGGUAAUGAAGGGGGCUAAUUUUAGAUAUAUGUUGUUCAACAUAGGUAUUUCUGGAAUAUUCUUAGUAUUUUUAAAUGGUGUUUUUAGUCCAAUGUCAACAAAUACUUCAAAAAGAAUUUAGCUUCUCAGAAAAGAGUAGACUAGAAAAGAUGCAAGGUUUUUGUUUUUAAAGUAUCUCCUAGAAAAUAAACUUGCUUAAUAUAAAGAGUGAUCAUUUACCUCUGAUAAAAAUAUUGAGAAAAAUUUUCCUAGAAAAGGCAGGGUAGUUUGAGAUAUAUUAGUUAAGAUGAAUAAUAAAGAGCCCCUUUUCUGAGAUAAAACAAGUUAUUCAAUAAAGAUGAACUCUUAAAAUGACUAAAAUGGAAAAAGAAUCAUUUGGCCUAAGUUUUCCUCAGUGUAGGCUCAAAAUAUACUGAAUUUUCAUUUGAACAGAAGAAAUAAAAAAAAUUGAUUAAACCCCAGGAUUAUAGAAAUGUUUAACUUGAUAUUUUGCUGGCAUCUUGUAUCUUGAGAAGUACUUUAUCAAAGGAACAAUUCUUUCAUGUAACUAUAGGCAUUUAUAGUAAGAUUUGUUUUGUUUUAAGUCAAUUAGGAUGUAAAGUGAUCGUGGAAGACUUCAAAAGGAUUGAUUAAUGCAUAUCUAGUUUCUGUAGUUAGAACAUUUGAAAGCUCUUUACUUUCCCCAAAUUUUAUGGUGAUUCACCUAACAAAAUAUCCUCUCAUUGGCAGAAACACAUGUUAACUACAUUUAUACACCCAAGAGAAAAACCAUGGAGACCCAAAUAUUAUGUUACUAAGUUCUUGAUAUGCAUAUCUGGUAGGAUUUGUUGUCAUUGAUAUCUGGAACCAACUUGGCCACAGAUCAAACAGUGCCCUAGAUUGAAUCCCUGGCUAGGCCCCUCCUCUGAGUGCUUCACCCACUGGCCAUUGAAAAGCUCAUUAUAUUGUUCAACAUCAGACAAUAACUCACUGCCAGUGUAGGGUCUGACUUCAGCUGCUGCUUAUAUAUUUGGGGAUUUCUAUCUGACAGCUCAAUGUCAACUAUAAUAUUUACUCAUAUGCUAACAAAAGCAUUAUGUUACAUAUAUUGCUAGUUUUAGCUAUAUAGAUAUUCUUUUCAUAUUGCUACCCAGUGACCUCAGUAUUGAUUGUGCACCCUAACUUUGAGAGAUAAAGAUGAUACUAAAAGUUGACAACAAGCUAGGCAUAAUAUUCUAUACCUGUCUAUUAUAACAGAAAAUUUUCAAAGCAGCUUUACUGACAUUAUUUCAUCAGAUAUUCAGAAGUACAUGGUAAUUCUGCCUCUAAUUUUUAAGGUUGUUCUGUGAGAGGGAAUGAGAUUCAAUCUGAAUGACUCUGGAAGAUCGAACUAAACCAACAGAUGGAAUCUUCAUGGAGUCACAUUAUGAACCAAAAUAAAAGAGAGAGACUUUUUUUUUUUUUUUGCCUAUGAAAUCAGAAUGAGUACAUUGGUUUGCUUUGUAGUCAGUGUGUUUCUUAUCAAUGGAAAUGUCUAACACCAUGGCAAAAAUGAUGUUGGGUAUCCAUCCAUCAGGUAGCUGGAUGAGAUGACCUUUUGAAUUCCUUCAAAUGUUGGAAUACUGGGAACACAUUCUAGGAUUCCCUUAGUUAAGGAUAAGACAGUAGGUUUCUGUCCUUCAAAUCCUAAAAGAAAGCAUGCUAUCCCUCUCUUUCCAUUCUAUAUUCUUCAUGCUGCUGGAUACAUGCCCAGUUAAGCUGAAGAACAGCUCAGCCAUGAGCCGCAGCUGCUGCGUGGCUAAUGAAAAAGGAGCCCCGGAAUGCACGCUCUCUCCUCUGGCUCCACUUGAUGCCAAUAGGCUUGCCUGAUUUGAAGAAAAAUCCAGUCAAGCUGCCUGCUUGGCACUGUGCAAGCAAUGCAUCUGGGUUCCUCCCAAGACUUCUGAGUGAAAUGAGGGGCUGUUUGCAAACUGUGUAGGCCCAACAUUAAAUGAUUUCUUCCCCACUGGAUUGUGAUCAUGAACUCCAUGGCAGAUAGGAGCAAUGAAAGAUAUCAGAAAAGGUCCCCAAAUUUCUCAAAGUGUUUUCUAUGGAAACAGAGCCCUGAGAAAGGCUCCAGGAGAGUAAUGACAGCAAAGAAACUAAACAAUGCAUAUUUUGGUCUUUCUAGCAGAUGCAGAAUACACAUUGUUAAGUGUCUGAGAAGUCUUAAGGCAAAAAAAAAAAAAAAAAACCUGGUAAACUCAGAUCAGAGCAAGAAAGUUUUUCCCCCCUUUGUACGUACCCAUUAACAUACAUACAUUUCAUAAAAUACACACUAGUGAAUAGGAAUAUUUUAAUACCAAACCCUCAUUCUCAUGCAUGAAGAAACUUAGGUCCAGAGAGAAAAAGUAACUAGAUCCACUCUGAAUACACUGACUAAUUAUAAGUAGAAAGUAGACUUCCUAGCUCCUAAUCCAGUGUUCUUUUCUCCUAAGCAUUGUUGUGAUCAUAUUCUUAACUUUUGUAUUUAACUUCAUGGUGUCUAGGUCAGGUGUUUAUCUCUGGACUCAUUAGUUCUGUCCACAUGAUAGGAACUGGCAAAAGCCUUGGAAUACAUACUUGUCUCUGUUCCAAUCUCCAUGG